rnacentral:antisense_RNA from 1 species
AACACUUUUUUUCCUGCCUUAAGGUUGGAAUCUGGAACCUGAUUCUGGCCCCCGGCAGAGCCUAAGGGCCCGAGGCCAGGGACCUAGAGGCGGGACCAAGUUCGCGCGAGGUGUUCACAGCCUAGGCGCCCCGGGCUUGGCUUCGUACUCUGCAACAAGCCGAGCUCCCUUGCCACGAGUAUAUCAGCAAUUUCAGAAAUAAACACCAGCGAAACCCCUUCCCACAUUAGCUUGUUGCUGUGCCACAGACACUGGGCUUAGUCGAUGUUCACACCUAUUACAUUUUCCCAGAAAGUGGGAGGAGCAGGGGUAGAGAAAGCUGUGUGUAUUUGAGGGAAGGGGAGAUGUGUGCAACACCUUCCGGAAAAUGGGGAGGUAGUUUAGAAAGUUUUUCUCUGUAACAGCACAACUUCUGAGAAGGCAGAGAGAAGAAGAAAGCAGGCAGGAAACGAAUCCCUUCCUCCUCUCCCCUUUACCCCUUCCUUCACUCCCCUUUACCCCCUUCCUUCACUCCCUUUACCCCUUCCUUCACUCCCCUUUACCCCUUCCUCACUCCCCUUUACCCCCUUCCUUCACUCCCUAGACCGAGCUGGUCACCCGGCUGGGAAUCAAGAGUGUGUGGCUGGGAAGACGCCAGUCUCUGUGCUCGGGUUCAGCCCAGUCGGGCAAG